rnacentral:lncRNA from 1 species
CGCGUUCGCGUCGUAUGCGUUCUACUUAAGGCGCGCGGUCGCGUCAGUCAUGCGGCCGCGUCGCUGCUUCUUCGCUUCUGGCACGCGAUCGCGUCGUCCAUGCGAUCGCGUGGAUACCAGUUUCUGCAAAACUCCGUUUCACACUUUCCUUCCAUUUUUGUACGUUUUCUUUUCCAUCCUUUAAGUCAUUCUGCCUUAGAAAAUCUGAAACUACUCAACACACUAAUCACGGCAUCGAAUGGAAAUAAAGGCAAUUAAAAUAAUUGAUUUUGAAGCUUAGAAAACAUGUUUUUCACAUACAUCACAUAAUAAGGAAGGGAAAGUAAAACCAUGCAAUUAAUAUGAAUAAGUGAGUGAAGGAUUGAAUAAAUCACUCAAAUUAAGCACAAAAUAACUCACGAAAUAUGGGUUUAUCAAUCUCCCCACACUUAAACAAUAGCAUGUCCUCAUGCUAAAUCCAAGGUAAAGAAUAAGGUAAGGUUAAAGUGGUGGAAUGUUAUGCAAUGCAACCUAUUCUAAAUGCAUCUACCUAAAUGAGUCAUGCAAUUCCAAUUUAUCCACUCAUAUAUAAAGCUUACAUGUAGUCAAAUUAAUUUACAUCCUCAAGGAGUCAUAUAUAUAUAGCCAACCCUUAAAUAAUAAAGCAUUUUAGCAAAUGAGAUGGGAAAUAAAAAUAUUGUACAAACUUGCAAAACAAUUAGUAAAUUAAGCACAGAUAUAUGUUGAUGAGUUAUUAAACCCUCACUGGAUUUUGUGUUUACCCUCUAGUCACUCAGUGUUUAUUGGGGUUAUUCACUCUACUUUUCUUUUUAUUCUUACUUUCUAUAACUUUGUUUUUCAUCUAACUAAUCAACAAUUAUAGAGUACAGUCAUACCAAAAGUCAUGAGGUCUUUAAUUAAGGUUGUAAUGGGGCCAAGGUAAAGGUAAGGAUAUAUGUAUAAGGCUAAGUGAGCUAAUAAGUGAAUCCUUAAUUAGACUAAGAUCUCACCUAACAUACACGUUUAGUAGAACAAGCUUCUUUACCAAUUUUCCCAUAUUAUCCCACUUGUUGUUACAUGCUCAUGUUUCAAUUUUUAUUUUUAUCCCAUGUGCAUUGCUUUAUUUUGAGGAAUUCUUUUGUAUCCUCUUUUAUUGAAUGCUGAAAAAUAACUUUUUUUUUUAAUGCAUAUGGUAAUUGAAUCACUUUGAUUUCUCAUGAGCAUGCUUCCCAAAUUUUAUUUUAUUUCUUUUAACUUUUCUACCUUUUGUUUCUAUCAUCCAUGUUCCCAAUAGGUUUCCCACAUUUUAAUCUAUUCAUAAUUUUCUAUCUUAAGCUAACCAAGGAUUCAACUUGAGAUUUUAUUUUGUUUUUCUGCUUAAGGCUAGUAGUGUGGCUAAAUAGAAUAAAAGGGAUUUUAAAGGCUCAAGGGGGCUAACAAGGGUGAUGUGAAAGGUAGGUUAUUUUGGGGUAAGUGAGCUAAAAUCAAAUAAUGGCCUUAAUCAUUCUUUUGGCAUGUAUCUAGAUCCUAUAAUUGGACAUAUAGAUUAAAUCAAAGUAAAGAACAUCAGAAUAAAAAGAAGCGAAACACACAGGAAUGAAAUUAUGGUUUAAAUGCAACUAUACAAUUAAGCUCAAGACUCACAGGCUGUGUGUUCUCUAACUCAAGCAUCAUAUAUCAUUCAUAUCUGUUAUGCAGGUUUAGUUAAAAAUUUCCAUUAUUCUCAUAAAAAAAUUAUUUAAGGUAGCCUUUAAAGUUUUAAUGUUCCUCCUUGAUGAAAUAUUGUCAACUUAACUAUAUGAUGUAAUGCUAUAUAUACAAGGUUUAUGGAUUUAAAUCUGUUAUGUUCAAUUUCCUAGCUUACUUCCUUUUUAUAUUUUUCAAUUUAAACUAUGAUAUCUUAUGCUAAAAAGGGUAAAUUAUACUAAUUAAUCCACUAAUAAGUCAGAAUUGCCAACUAAACUAAAUAACUAAAAUAUGAACUAAAAAUGCAAAAUACAAAAUUAGAGUAAAAGUAGCAAUGUAUAAGUACUCAGAAAAUAACAGUAAAAAGAAAAAUACAGAAAAAUAUCCAAAAUAAAAGAAAAAAAAAAAGAGAUGUAGUGGUUCACCAAAAUAAAACGCCAGAGAUGGCGACCUCCCCAUACUUAAAAUGAAGCAUCGUCCCUGAUGCUCAGUCAAGCCGGGUGUGAAGGGGUGUCAUCACUGGUAGGGAUGGUAGCUGGAGGCUCUGUGGUGGUGGUGGGCUGAGGGUCUGGCUACUGUAAAGGCGGUGCUGACUGAAUCGGGAUCUCCGGAUCUGCAGCCUCGAUCUGAUGCGUAACCUCCUGAUAUGGUGCAGCCUGCUCUGUGUCUGCCUGCUGAUGGGUCUCCGCCUGGAAGUGAGUCUCCUCCUCGUGCUCAUCCUCCUCCUCCUUUGAUGGCUCUGAUGGUGUGUCGGGCUCGGAGGGGAUGUCACCACCCUGUCGGAUCAUCAGCUUCAGAUGCGAAUGGCGUCGCUGGCUGCGACGCUCCAGUCUCUCAUACCGGCGCCGGUUACGGCGCUCCAUCUGAUCAAGCUAUCGGAAUAGGCGGUGCACGAGGCGGUAUACGGGCUCAGAGGCAGGUGGAGGUGCAGUGGUGGCAGCAGGGGCAACAGGGGAAGCCGUGGAUGAAAAGGGUCCAACUGACGGUGGGGCUGUCUCAUCAGUAGCAGUGAAGGGUGGUGGUCUGUAGCCCAAGGCUAGGAAGUUCCUGCUGUGAGGAAUGAUCUUCCUGCAGUCCGCCGUUGGUGGUCUCUCAUCGGCAUCCUCCCAUGGCACGUCAGCUCGACGGCCUAGCUGUGUAACCAGAUACGGAAAAGGGAGGGUGCCUCGGACGUGGACCCUGGCCAUAUAAUGCCGGAUAAAGCAUGGCAGAUAAAGGUCCUUACCCUCCAUCACACACCAUAGGAGGGUGAUCAUAGCAGUUGGGAUCUCCGUCUCAUGAGUACUCGGCAUGACAUAGUUGCUCAAGAUCUGGUGCCAUAACCGAGCCUCAUCAUUUAAGUACGCCCUCUUGAUCCCUCUAGGCAUGGUGGUGUCCUGACCCAUCUCCCAAGAAACAGUCGGGUCGAGAGCUAUCCGUGCCUUUACAGCAUCCCAAUCAAACUGCAUCAGGCGCAUGUCCUCCUCAGCCUUUGAAUAACCAUCAGGCUUAUCGGACUUGGCUGGGAGCCGGAGAAUGUCCUCUAUGGCCUCCUCAAUGAUCAGAAUCUGCUUUCCUCUCAGGUUCACUGCAUCUAGGGUGGUGAUGUAGUAGUUGCAGUAGAAUUCCCGGACCCAAGAUGCAUUGACCUCUGUCAGUGUUCUCUCCAGAAAGAACCAGCCUCUUUGCUUGAUUUGCUCAGUGGUGUACUGCUGGAGUGCUUCUGGAAUCCUCAGAGUUCUCUCCAGGUAUAGAUUCCUGGAGUUUGCAAAUGCCUGAUACUUCAACUCGCAGUAUCGGUUUGCAAAUUUUAUUGAAUCAUUUGCAGGGAGCAGCUGGUCAGCUUUUUCCUGCUGUGUAAAGUUCUUCUCCCGCCAUGAGGAAUCAUGCAUGAGGGCAAUGAUGGAUUGGAAGGAAUCUCCUCUUUUGCGCUUGCCAGUAGCCUUGCCUUUUCCUUUCCUCUGUGAGGCAGACAUCCUAAAAAAUGGAAAAACCAGGAUAUAUAAAAAUAGAAAAGCAAGUAGGCAAUUAAACAAAGAAAACUCAAAGCGGCAAAGGAGAAUGGGAAAUAGGUAAAUGAGUUAAGUAAUGGUGUAUUGAGGAUUGUAUAGUAGUUUAAAAGUUUGAAAGGAAGAAUUAACAAUCCAAAAUGUAUCAGAAUCCAAGUUAAAUAGAGAAAUUGUCAUAAUGCCAUGGUUAGAAAGUUAGAGGGAAAUGAGAAAAAAUCAGAAAAGAGAUUUGGAAAAAGUUAGUAUGGUUAGAAUUUGAAAGAGGGGUUAGUAAAUUAAAAUUAGUGAAGCAGUAAAAUGUGGGUUCAAGUAAGUGGCAUAAAGAAAAUAUUCCAUGUAACAAGGAUUCACAAUUAUGACUAGAAAUAACUCACAACCUAACAAGGAAAACAGGGUGAUGUUGAUUCAAAGAGAUAUAAAGAAAGCAAGAAUUGGAAUCAGAAUAUCAUAGAUGCAGUUUAUAAACCAGGAAAUCAAAGAGGAUAAGAAAGUCUGCCAUAGCAUUCAUGAAACGGUUUGGAGAAAGCAGUGGAAAAUAGAGUUCAAAUUGCCAAACUGAAAUAUGAAUGAAAACAUUGUUAUAGAAAUUUGGGCAGCAUUCCGGCUAAAAUUGGAUUAUCCCGGAAAAUAAACAGCAAUCAAAGCAGUUCAUAUGAAUUAAAAAGUCAAGCUGCAGGUACAUAAAUAUAAUAUAAACAUGAAAAUUCAAUGUAAAGAGCAGUAAUAUACAAGAAAUAUAGCAUAUGAACAAGAUUACAACAACAGCAGAUUUGCAAAUAUGAUAAAACAGAAGCAAGAACAGUGCAAAUAAAUAGACCUAGAUCCACUAACCACAUCCUAAUCUACCUAACAACCUAAAAUCCACUACAACAUGCAUAUCUAGCUAUCCUAAGCAUGAACAUAAACGAAGAAAAAAUAAAAAAACUACGAAUGGAUAAAAGGGCUUGCGUGUUGCGGAAUCUGGAAGGUGAAAGAAGGAGGUUAGGUAACAGAGGUGGCUAGGGUGGUAGCGGUGACGUCCAGCACGGCGGGUGGCGGCGGUGGGCACGGUGGUUGCUGCUGUUAGGGGGCAGGGGCUUUGGGAAGGGUAAUGGGGGAAAUAGGGGAGAGGGUUGGGGGUUGCGGGUGGUGGUGGGAGCGGCGGGUCUAAACGCACGACUCCAGCACCGUUUCAGCGCAACUCUCUGUCUCCUUCUGGGGUGAUGUGCAAUCCAUGCGACGCGAUCGCGUCGCUCACGCGGUCGCGUGGGAUUGGUAUUUGUGCAAGUGACGCGAUCGCAUGGGGCAUGCGAUCGCGUGAGCCAAUUUGUGCAAAACGCACAAGGGCCGCACGAUUCCAGCCUAACUUUCUGGACGUUGGAUUUUUACGCCGAUCUCCAGGGCACGCGGCUGCGUGGAUGACGCGGUCGCGUGGAUAGUGUAUUCGCAGUAUGACGCGAUUGCAUGGGGCAUGCGGUCGCGUCGUGCAUCCCCCUUUUUUUUAUGCAUGAAAAAUGCAGAAUGCAAUGACUAAUAUGAGUGAGAUGCAAAAUUCCAGGUUCAAUAUAAUAAAAUAAAAUAAAACUUGAAAACAAAUAAAACCAAAUAAAAACUAAAAGAAACGAUCAUACCAUGGAAUAACUGAAAUACCUCAAAUAAUCAUUAAUUCAAAUCAUAACAUGGAAUAAUUCAUAAAUUAAAUUAUAAAAGUAAAUAAUCAACUCAAGUGAUGGAAUAAAUAAGUAAAAGUGAAAAGGGAAGCUUAAAACAAAGAAACAUAAAACCUGGAUCGAGAGUCACUCUUAAAAACUAAGAGAAGUCCUAAAUCCUAAUCCUAAGAGAGAGAGGAGAGAAUCUCCCUCUCAAAACUGAAUCUAAAUCAUGGAAAGUAAUAAAAAUGCGAGCUCCUCCUAGAAUGGAUGCAUUCCCCCACUUUAUAGCCUCCAAUCUGUCCUUUCUGGGCCGAAAACUGGGUCAGAAACAGCCCAGAAAUCGCCCCCUGCGUAUUCUGGUACAUUCAGGUCGCGGACAAGUGACGCGGAGGCGUCGUCCACGCGGCCGCGCGGAUUGAAGUUCGCAGAUGCGAUGCGUCCGCGUGGAUCACUCGUUCGCGUCGCCUAGCGUUAGAGAAACUAUGGCAUAUUAUAUAUCAAAUCGAAGCCCCGGACGUUAGCUUUCCAACGCAACUGGAACCGUGUCGUUUGGACCUCUGUAGCUAAAGUUAUAGCCGUUUGNNNNNNNNNNNNNNNNNNNNNNNNNNNNNNNNNNNNNNNNNNNNNNNNNNNNNNNNNNNNNNNNNNNNNNNNNNNNNNNNNNNNNNNNNNNNNNNNNNNNNNNNNUUUCCAUCCUCUGAGCCAUUCCUGCCCUGUAAUCUCUGAAAUCACUUAACACACAUAUCAAGGCAUCUAAUGGUGAUAAGAGAGGAUUAAUAUUAGCAAUUAUAAGUCCAAAGAAGCAUGUUUUCAAUCAGAGCACAUAAUUAGGAAGGCAAAUGUAAAACCAUGCAAAUAGUAUGAAUAAGUGGGUAAAUAGUUAAUAAAAACCACUCAAUUGAAUACAAGAUAAACCAUAAAAUAGUGGUUUAUCAACCUCCCCACACUUAAACAUUAGCAUGUCCUCAUGCUAAGCUCAAGAGAAGCUAUAAAGAAUGAAGAGGAAUAGUAGAAUAUAUGAAAUGCAACCUAUCUAUAUGAAUGCAACUACAUGCAAAGAAAUGUUUCUACCUACUUGGUUAAAAAUAAAUAAGUUCUCCAAGACAAAAAUAAAUCAGAUUUCACUAAUUCAAAUCAUACAAUAAAAAGCAAGUAAACUUGUAAGAAGAUAGCUCAUGAAAGCAGGGAACAUAGAAUUAAGCACUGAACCCUCACUGGUAGUGUAUAUCACUCUAAUCUCUCAAGUGUAUAGGGUAAUUCACUCUAGUCUUCUCUAAUCAUGCUUUCUAAAACUUUGUUCUUCAUCUAACCAAUCAACAUAUAUUUAAUGUACUAAUGCAAACAUCAUGAGGUCUUUUCAAGGUUGUAAUGGGGCUGAGGUAAAGGUAAGGAUAUAUGUAUGGCCAAGUGAGCUAUAAUAUGAAUCUUCAAUUAACCUAAGCUCUCACCUAAUAUACAUAUACUCUAUAUAAUUUUAAAUUCAUGCCUAGCUACCCAUAAUUCCCACUUUUGUAUAAUUCCCAUACUCAUGUACCAAAUUUUUUUAAAAUUUUUUUUAUCACAUGUGCAUUGAACUUUUAUUAAACUUAAUAUUGGGGUAAUUUUGUCCCCUUAUUUAUUUAUAUUAUAUAUAUAUAUANNNNNNNNNNNNNNNNNNNNNNNNNNNNNNNNNNNNNNNNNNNNNNNNNNNNNNNNNNNNNNNNNNNNNNNNNNNNNNNNNNNNNNNNNNNNNNNNNNNNNNNNAAAUAAACAUAACUUAUCAAUGCACAUGGAUUUUCUAUUAUUUUUCUUUUUUGGUUUUUCAUGAGUAGGUUCCCAAAUUUCCAAUAUUCAAAUAAAUUAGAAACAUGAUACAUUCCCUUAUUAAUCCAUGUUUCCACAGUUUUCCCACACUUAGUUGAUGCACAAUCUCUAUCUUAAGCUAACCAAAGAUUCAAUUGGGAUAUUCAAUUGUUUUUCUGCUUAAGGCUAGUGAUGUGGUAAAAUACAGAACAAAUGGGGAUAAAAAGGCUCAAAGUGGCUGACAAUGGUGAUUUAAAGGGUAGGCUUAUUUGGGAUAAGUGAGCUAAAAUCAAACAAUGGCCUCAAUCAUAUGCAAGCAUGUAAAUACACUAAAUAUUGGACAUAUAGAAUGGAACAAAGCAAAGGUUGCAAUCAUAGUGAAGUAAACACACAAGAAUAAAAUAUUUAUGGUUAAAUAAUGUAACCAUAUAAAUAAGCUCAAAAUCUCACAGGUUGUGUGUUCUUUGGCUCAAAAACCAUGUUUCACAUACAACUUCAAACAAGUUUUAACAUAAAUUUUUUUUUUCAAUUUAAAUUAGUGAAAUUUUUCAAAGAUAGGGUCUUAAAAGAAUAUUAUUACUUUAACCAAGUAGUAACUAAAUGCAUAAAAUCAAAAAAAUAUGCAAAUGCAAUAACUAAUUUAACAAAGAAAAUUUAAACAUUGGUGUUGAAACAGAAAGGUACUAACCCAUGGAGAUCGGUAUCGACCUCCCCACACUUAAAGAUUGCACCGUCCUCGGUGCAUGCUAAGAUGCGCAAGUGGACGGGUGGCUUCAACUGAUGCUUUUCUCUAUAGAUUGUGCAGAUUGACUUGCCUGUCUCCCCAUGUAAACGUCUUCCGGUUCUCUUCCGGGUGGCCAUCCUGAAAGAAAAAGGGAAGAAGAGUAACCCAGAAAUAAGGAUAGGAAAAUAAAUACAGUAUGGGUGGGUUAAUGCCAAAUAAUAAGGGUCUCAAUUACAUGGUAGCUACAACAUGCAAGUGAGAAAACAAUAGAAGCCAUGGCAUGCCAGUGGUACAAAAUGUACAACAAUGGGGAAGGAGAGAUAAUAUAAAUUCAUGUCAAUGCAAAAGUAAUACAGAUAUAAAAGAUUGGCAUUGAUUUAAAUAAUAUUACUCAAUCAAAAUUAAACAAGUCAUGAAGCACCAAGAUAAUACCAGAAAAGAUAUAACCGUUGAAUAAGAACUUUUAACACCAAUGGAAAAUAAUAAAUUUAGAAAAGAAAACAAAAAUAUGCACAAAAUAAAGAUGCAAUGAAUAAAAUAUGCAAAUAAAUUAAGUAAAAUAAAAUAAAAGAUGAGAAGAAUGAGAAGGGAAAGAAGGGGAGAAGAAGUAAGUAAGAAAGGAGGGAGGAAAAAUUAGGAUUGGGGGAGAAAAGAUAAGAAAAUUGGCACUAAUCUGGAUAGGUUGUGCGACGCUGGCGACGCGGUCGCGUGGUGCACGAUAAGGUUGGGUGACGCGGACGCGUGGGGCACGCGAUCGCGUGACUCGAUUUGUGCUAGUGGCGCGAGUGCAGCCUCGCGGUCGCACAACUCUCUGUUUAAAACUUAGUAUUGCCAAAAUCCAGGGUGACGCGGUCGCGUGGUAGGGCUUGGGCUUCCAGCACGAGUCCAGCCCAAUUUCAGCUCAACUUUCGGCCAUACACCUUGUUAUGUCGAAAUCCAGGGCACGCGGUCGCGUGGGUCACGCGGUCACGUGGGAGGCCAGUAUUCCCACUCGACGCGGACGCGUCAGCGACGCGGUCGCGUGGGACGAUUUGUGCCACGGGCACGCCUCCAGCCACGCUCCAGCGUGACUCUCUGUUCGUUUUUAUUUUCUCCCCUCUCCUUGCGACGCGGACGCGUCGCUGAUGCAGUCGCAUCGCGUGGCUUUUUUUUUUUUUGAGAAUGCAGAAUGUAGUAUGCAGAAUACAAUGCUUAAUGUGAAUGCUAUGCAUGAUUCCAGGUUCAAUAAAGUAAAAUAAAAAGAAAAUAAAAAUGAAAGCAAUUAACAAGAAAUAAAUUAAAAAAGAAGCGACCGUACCAUGGUGGGUUGUCUCCCACCUAGCACUUUUAGUUUAAGUCCUUAAGUUGGACAUUGUAGGAGCUUCCUGCUAUGGCGGCUUAUGUUUAAAUUCGUCCAAAAAUCUCCACCAAUGUUUGGAAUGCCAAUAGCCUCCGGGGUCCCAAACUAGGCAUAUGAAGCUUCUGAUCAGCUUCAAGCAGAUUUUCAGGCUCCCGGGAUGACGAAUGUCAGAAUAGAAUCCAUGAUCCCGAUCUUUGUUUUUAAAUCCGCCUCUGUCUUGAUCUAUAUGUUUCCAUCCGGGCGGUUUAAAAAGUAGAAUCUCACCAUGGUGACCAAACGUUCUCCGUGAUCCAUGCAAUUGAGCAUGAUACCAAUCCAUGUACUUCGAGGUGAAGCGUGGACCCUUAUUGAACCUUGUGCACCAACUCUGAGUACGAGCCAUUUCCCUCUUACUCUUAAAGCCGCAGAGAGCUCUAAGCUGGCCAUCUGUUUCAAGUAAACCAUAUUCAAGUGAAUAAGUAAAGUUAAAGGUUAAGGAUUGUACCCACUUGAAGCUUGUAUUAGGUGGUAAUGGCCUUGGGAUAGGUGUUUCUGGUGGUUCUGUAAGUUCUACUCCCUUGUGCUCUUCUGUGAAUUCCUCCACUUCCUUGCAAGGUUCUACAAUUGUAUCAGUGUCCUGAUCAAAGUCUUCUAUGUCUUCCUCAUCACUUGAGUCAUAGAUUGGAGGUUGAGAGAAAUCUACCUCCGCAUCGUUUUCAUAUUCACUUGGGGAAGAUUCUUCGAUCUCAGAGAAUUCACUUGCGGAUGCAAGUUCAUUACUAAGAGAGCUAAACUUGUGACUAUCACUAUCAAGGGAAUUUGUGUCUUGGGUUAUUCCGUCUGAUUCUUCAUAAAUGACUUGCCUUGGGGGUUGUGUACUAUCCUCCUUAGCAUCAAAUGUAACAUCCUUGACGGAGUUCUCCUCAGUUCUGGAUUCCCAUGGAGGUUCAGCAUCUCCUAGAUCUUCAACCAACUCAUCUUCUUGUACAAUGACAGCUUCUUCUACUUGUUCUAGUACAAAUUCAUGCUCUGUCUUGUCCACUGGAGCUUCUGGUAUCUCCUUCAUGCUACGCUCUUCAUUAGACUGUCCACAUGGGGCUGUGGCUGACCCUUGUAUAAUUGAGUGUCUAGAAGCCCAUUGAAUUACUGCUUGCUCCAGUUGUCGAAUGGUUGUUUGAAGUUUAUUUACUGUUUCCUUUAGGCGAACCUCUGCUUCUCGGGUUGCCGGAUUUGGACAGGACACAUAUAGAAGUGGUGGUGGUUGGGAGUGAUUGGAUUGGAAUCUGGGUAAGAAAGGAUCAUAUGGUGGCGAAUGGUGAAGAGAAGCUUGUGAGUGUGGUGGUUUGAGGUUAUGUUGAAAGGAUAGUCUAUAGGCACGGGGUGGGGCUUGUUGGUAGUUACAAGGUUGUCCACCAUAUCUUUCAACUGGGUAUGCAUUGUAGAAUGGUCUUUGUCCAGGAUAUCUCGGAGGGUGUUACUGCCUAAAGGGUUGAUUAGAUCCUCUUGGCUCCAUCCAUCAUUGAUUGGUCUGACCUUGAUGCACAUUCUUGCUGUAACUUCUAUUUCCUUCAACAAAGUUAGAACCAAACUCAAAGCGAGAGGGGUGAGAGUUCAUGGUAGCAAAUAAAGAUAAAAAGGAAGAACAAAAAUAAAUAAACAAGCAAAAGAAAAAUAUUUACAAUAACCAAUAAUAAGGCACACGUUAGCAGUUCUCCGGCAACGGUGCCAUUUUGACGUUGGGAUUUUUGCCAGUAAAGAAGUUCAUAAAAAUAGUCGCGUUGUAGAUAUAGUUUCUAAACCAACAGAAAUCCCUUCGUACAAACGUUUUGGUUGUCACAAGUAACAAACCCCUUAAAAAUUGUUAACCGAGUAUUCAAACCUCGGGUCGUCUUCUCAAGGAACUGCAGGGAAGUAUGUUCUUAUUAUUGGCUAUAAAGGUUGUAAUCGGGGUUUAAGAGGUGAGAAGCAAGUGAUUUAAAUGAUAAGUAAAAUAAAUGGUAAUUAAAAUAAAUAAAUAUUGUAAAGCAAACUUUUGGCAAGGUAAAAGAAAUUGGAAGUCCAACUUAGUUAUCUCUCUCAACAAUAAUGAAAGUUGAAUCUAGAUUCCACUUAGUUAACCUUUACUAAAGCAAAGGAAAGUCAAGGGACUAAUUAGUUUGACCUUCGAAUCCUGUUUAAUUCCUAAGAAAAAGUUGGGAUUAUUGAAGUUCGGUUCAAUUAGCAAGAUAGCGAUUAUCAGCUAUGUUGAGUUUGAUAAUGUUGAGUUACUGAUUUCUUAACCAAGACCAAAAGGGGAAAAAGUAAAAUUGCUGGAAUAAAAAUGUCCGUAGAUGGGAAGCAAUAAUAACUUAAAUUAAAGAGAAAGCAAUCAAUAACUGAAAUACCUCAAAAAAUCAUUAAUUCAAAUCAUAACAUGGAAUAAUUCAUAAAUUAAAUUAUAAAAGUAAAUAAUCAACUCAAGUGCUGGAAUAAAUAAGUAAAAGUGAAAAGGGAAGCUUAAAACAAAGAAACAUAAAACCUGGAUCGAGAAUCACUCUUAAAAACUAAGAGAAGUCCUAAAUCCUAAUCCUAAGAGAGAGAGGAGAGAAUCUCCCUCUCAAAACUGAAUCUAAAUCAUGGAAAGUAAUAAAAAAUGCGAGCUCCUUUUGAAUGGAUGCAUUCCCCCACUUUAUAGCCUCUAGUCUAUGUGUUCUGCACUUGGAUUUGGGCCAAAGAGGCUUCAGAAUCCGCUUUGAGCGUAUUCUGUAAAUUCUGAUACAUGGCCUCUGUCACGCGUCCGCGUGGGUCACGCGGUCGUGUCAUCUGGAGUUUUCCUUGCCACGCGGUCGCGUCAGUCACGCGUCCGCGUCAUAUGCGUUCUACUUAAGGCGCGCGGUCACAUCAGUCAUGCGGCCGCGUCGCUGCUUCUUCGCUUCUGGCACGCGAUCGCGUCGUCCAUGCGAUCGCGUGGAUACCAAUUUCUUCAAAACUCCGUUUCACACUUUUCUUCCAUUUUUGUAUGUUUCCUUUUCCAUCCUUUAAGUCAUUCUGCCUUAGAAAAUCUGAAACUACUCAAC